rnacentral:rRNA from 1 species
AAGUCGAACAAAAAAUCUUGAGCUUGCUCAAGAGAGUAAAGUGGCGCACGGGUGAGUAACGCGUGGGUAACCUGUCCAUAAAUCUAGGAUAAUCCACCGAAAGGUGGGCUAAUACCGGAUAUAGUCUCAAGAACCAUGGUUCUCGGGAUGAAAGCCGACCUCUUCGUGAAAGUUGGCGUUUAAGGAGGGGCCCUCGUGCCAUUAGCUUGUUGGUAGGGUAAAGGCCUACCAAGGCUACGAUGGCUAGCUGGUCUGAGAAGACGGCCAGCCACACUGGAACUGGAACACGGUCCAGACUCCUACGGGAGGCAGCAGUGAGGAAUCUUGCGCAAUGGGGGAAACCCUGACGCAGCGACGCCGCGUGAGUGAAGAAGGCCUUCGGGUCGUAAAGCUCUGUCAAGCGGGAAUAAAAUCCCGCGGUUAAUAGCCGCGGGAUUUGAAGGUACUACUAAAGGAAGCACCGGCUAACUCCGUGCCAGCAGCCGCGGUAAUACGGAGGGUGCAAGCGUUAUUCGGAUUUAUUGGGCGUAAAGAGCGUGUAGGCGGUUGGGUUACUCACAUGUGAAAACCUUCUGCUCAACGGA